UACGUAGGAUGCAAGCGUUGUUCGGAAUUACUGGGCGUAAAGAGUACGUAGGCGGUUAGAUAAGUCUGGCAUUAAAGACUGGAGCUCAACUUCAGGAAUGUACCGGAAACUGUUUGACUAGAGGACAAUAGAGGAAGUCGGAAUUCUCAGCGUAGCGGUGAAAUGCGUAGAUAUUGGGAAGAACACCAGUGGCGAAAGCGGACUUCUGGGUUGUUACUGACGCUGAGGUACGAAAGCGUGGGGAGCAAACGGG
rnacentral:rRNA from 1 species